UACGUAGGGUCGCGAGCGUUGCCCGGAUUUAUUAGGGGCGUGAAAGGCGCGCAGGCGGUCACGCAACGUCCGUUGUGAAAUCGCUCGGCUCAACUGGGCGGGGUCAGCGGAUACGGCGCGACGUGGGAGCAAGCUAGGGGGCAAUGGAAUUCCCGGUGUAGUGGUGGAAUGCGUAGAUAUCGGGAGGAACGACCGGUGGCGAAGGCGGGUCACUGGGCCGAGACUUGACGCUGAGGAGCGAAAGCGUGGGGAGGCGAACAGGA
rnacentral:rRNA from 1 species